rnacentral:rRNA from 1 species
UACGUAGGGGGCAAGCGUUAUCCGGAAUUACUGGGUGUAAAGGGAGCGUAGACGGUAAUGUAAGUCUGGAGCGAAAGGCGGGGGCUCAACCCCCGGACUGCUCUGGAAACUAUGUUACUAGAGUGCAGGAGAGGUAAGCGGAAUUCCUAGUGUAGCGGUGAAAUGCGUAGAUAUUAGGAGGAACACCAGUGGCGAAGGCGGCUUACUGGACUGUAACUGACGUUGAGGCUCGAAAGCGUGGGGAGCAAACAGG